CGUUUUGUGACAGUGUAUCCUUCUCCACCAUGUCUUCCAAGUUCCAAGGCAUACUUUUGAAGAUGACUCUGUAAUAGUAAUUGGCUAAAGCAUCGAUUUUUGCAUGUGGUCCAAUAUUCUCCUUGGUAGGGUGUACCCGGUUCGAAACUCCCCACUUCCCUAAAUUAUUGUAAUAGUUUUGAACCCUCCGCUUCCCCUUAAUAAUAAUAAAUUAAAAAAAGAGAUAUAGUAAUUAGUAAUUGUGACCUUAUUUUAGGUGUUUUUGAUAAAUGCAGCUAAUCCAUUGUCCGGGAUGAACUUAGUUCGGGAGUGUAAUGGUAAAGCACAUGGCAUACUUGAGCAUCACCAAGGAUUUCUUUAUCUGUUUACGGAUGCUGCUAAAGCGGACCAGUCAGUUGAUUACCAUUAUCUUCUUCAGAGUCCACUGCAUUCUUCUUCCAGUCCAAGAAUAUGGGAGAAUGUAUUCGGUAGUUAUUUUAAGGGAAGGGCAAAACUUUAAACUUUGUUCUGUCACUGUACCUUUGCCUGCUGGGAAGGUAGGUUAACAGCACCAAUUUUGGGGGGCCAGUGCACCUAAAAGAGCUUCAAUCACUAUUCCUGCCUCUUCCAAAA